rnacentral:rRNA from 1 species
AGAGUUUGAUCCUGGCUCAGGACGAACGCUGGCGGCGUGCCUAACACAUGCAAGUCGAGCGAUGAAAUCCUUCGGGAUGGAUUAGCGGCGGACGGGUGAGUAACACGUGGGUAACCUGCCUCAAAGAGGGGAAUAGCCUUCCGAAAGGAAGAUUAAUACCGCAUAAUAUGUUUUGGUCGCAUGACUGAAACAUCAAAGGAGCAAUCCGCUUUGAGAUGGACCCGCGGCGCAUUAGCUAGUUGGUGAGGUAACGGCUCACCAAGGCGACGAUGCGUAGCCGACCUGAGAGGGUGAUCGGCCACAUUGGAACUGAGACACGGUCCAGACUCCUACGGGAGGCAGCAGUGGGGAAUAUUGCGCAAUGGGGGAAACCCUGACGCAGCAACGCCGCGUGAAUGAUGAAGGCCUUCGGGUUGUAAAGUUCUGUCUUCUGGGACGAUAAUGACGGUACCAGAGGAGGAAGCCACGGCUAACUACGUGCCAGCAGCCGCGGUAAUA